rnacentral:rRNA from 1 species
CCUUACCCGCUGAACUUAAGCAUAUCAUUAGGCGGAGGAAAAGAAACUAACUAGGAUUCCCUCAGUACGGGCGACGGAAGUGGGAAAAGCCCAAAGUGAAAAUCUGGGAGCAAUCCCCGAAUUGUAAUCUGAAGAUUGCUGUCCUAACGGGAGAAGACGCAUAACUGAUCGUGAGAGGUCGGCCAGAGAGGGUGAGAGCCCCGUAUGUGGUGUCUUUUCUUACCGGGAAAGUAGUCAAAGAGUCGUGUACUCUGAUACGAGUGCACUAAGCGGGAGAUAAACUUCUUCUAAGGCUAAAUAUAUGUAGGAAACCGAUAGCGAACAAGUACUGUGAAGGAAAGAUGAAAAGCACUUUGGAAAGAGAGUUAAAAGACUUGAAAUCGUUGAGGCGGAAGCGGUAGAAAUGAAUUCUACAAUGACCUUAUAUGGCGUGCGAAUACAUAAGCGAGCCAAGUGUAGGAAAAUUGUGAGGCAAGAUGGGGUCGCGCGCUGCCAGAAAAGAGCCAGGUUCUCCUGGUUUAUAUGGGUGACGCGUGGCCUGAGGGGCUUUAGCGAUCUUGUCAAAAUGGUUUUUACCGACCCGUCUUGAAACACGGACCAAGGAGUCUAAGACUAACGCGAGUAUGGUGGUGGAAAAACCAACAUGCGAAAUGAAAGUAAUUGAUGCCAAGGCAACGGCAGCAUCGACCGACCAUGAUCCACUGGUGAAAGGUUUGAGUAAGAGCGUUAUUCUUAGGACCCGAAAGAUGGUGAACUAUGCCUGUGUAGGGUGAAGUCAGGGGAAACUCUGAUGGAAGCUCGUAGCGAUACUGACGUGCAAAUCGUUCGUCGAACAUGGGUAUAGGGGCGAAAGACUAAUCGAACCAUCUAGUAGCUGGUUCCCUCCGAAGUUUCCCUCAGGA